GCAGACGCGCUGCAAGUCCUGGGGAGACAAAAUACAUUUAUGCACGAUGGCGCCCCUGCGCAGCCGGUUUGGUUCCCGUGUCACCCAAUAGGUUUAGCUUCCCCACCCGCCAUUUUUAAAAAGACCCGACGGAGCUCAUCGCCUUCUUGAAUCAUGCAGAGGUGGGCAUCAUGAAGGCCUCGUCAUUGAUUUUGUUGGAAAGGGGAGAAAUUGCGCUUUAUAAAUGGUAUUGAUAUUACAGCUGAUCUGGAAGUAUUACGUUUUUUGGGCGCUAAAAUAUGGUCAAAUGUAUGGACCAGCGCGACGUAAAAAACCUCCACAUAGGAGAUCCGCUGAGCAGCCCUGAUCUUUGGCACCUUGACCUCCUUCACCCGAACAGGGCACUCAAGGAAGUCCGGAGUAUGAUACCCACCACAGAUGCAACAUUUUCCAUUCACAGAUUCUUCAAUAUCAGCCUUCUCUCGUCUGCUAACGUUUGACACGUGACCAUAUCCUUUACAAUUUCCAUACUGUAAUGGUUUAGACACAAAUGAUGUUUCACACCUACGAGAACAGAGUACCCCCCCCUAUAUAUACACACACGCACGCACACACAGACACACACAAAGACACACACACACACUCCCACACAAUUUAUGUGUUUUUAUCAUUGUUGGGUUGGAAAUACAUUGGUUGAUAACUUUGAUUUCAUGUCUAAUACUUGUAUUCAUCUAUUUGUGUGUGUGUGUGUGUGUGUGUGUGUGUGUGUGUGUGUGUGUGUGUGUGUGUGGGCCCUGGGCCUGGAUGACAUUAAGACCCACCACUGGUGUAUCAUCGGCUGCAGUGCUGUGACAGGAGAGAACCUACUGACCGGAGUAGACUGGCUACUGGAUGACAUCGCUGCACGCGUCUUCACUGCAGAUUAACAUCCUGGGUGUGCAUUAAUAAAACGCAUCUGAAGAAGCUUCAGUGUUUCUCAACCUCCGCUCUGUGGGAUGUUGUUUUCUGAUACAAAUUCUUCUAUGUUUAAGAUAAUGACUAAAGUACUCCACCCUGAAACCAUAUAAUUGUAUGAAAUGUGUUAGAGUCAUAAUCCAAUAAUGUGUGUGACUAGGCCAUUGUGUUACCAUUUCGCAAUAUGAGCUACGUAUAGUUGAGACAUUCAAGGACAACUGAACUGUCAACUUGUGAUAUCGGUGAAACUAAUAACUGGAAAGAGGCCUCCUCACCCUAGGGAGGAGAAAAACUGUUAGAAAAGGCUAGGCUUGCAGAAGAUGAUGAAACAUGUUGCAGAAGGGUGAUAAACAAUGUAUGUGAACUUUGGAAAAAUACAGCCCGCCUAAUGAGAGCUGGAGUUUCUACUGAUGUGAGUUCAUUUGUGUGUGUGUGUGCUAUAAAAAGAUUGUGUUCUCAUUUUGAUGACAGAGCGCUCUCUGAAUAAAGAGUUGAUCUAUUGAGGA